rnacentral:rRNA from 1 species
AGAGUUUGAUCCUGGCUCAGGACGAACGCUUGCGGCGUGCCUGAGAAAUGCAAGUCGAGCGGGGUGUAGCAAUACACCUAGCGGCGAACGGUCGAGUAACACGUAAGCAACCUGCCCUGCAGUGGGGGAUAACAGCGGGAAACCGCUGCUAAUACCGCAUAGGCAUAUUCCUGGGCAUCCAGGGAUGUGUAAAGGCUAGACUGCUGCAGGAGGGGCUUGCGGCCUAUUAGCUAGUCGGUGGGGUAACGGCCUACCGAGGCGACGAUGGGUAGCUGGUCUGAGAGGAUGGUCAGCCGGAUCGGGACUGAGACACGGCCCGGACUCCUACGGGGGGCAGCAAUCAGGAAUAUUGCGCAAUGGGGGAAACCCUGACGCAGCGACGCCGCGUGCGGGAUGAAGGCCUUCGGGUCGUAAACCGCUGUUGUGGGAGAAGAAGGCCUGCCGACGAGGCAGGGGAGACGGUAUCUCACGAGAAAGCCCCGGCUAACUACGUGCCAGCAGCCGCGGUAAU